AGCGUAGAUGGGUUGUUAAGUCAGUUGUGAAAGUUUGCGGCUCAACCGUAAAAUUGCAAUUGAUACUGGCAGUCUUGAGUACAGUUGAGGUAGGCGGAAUUCGUGGUGUAGCGGUGAAAUGCUUAGAUAUCACGAAGAACUCCGAUUGCGAAGGCAGCUUACUAACCUGUAACUGACAUUGGUGCUCGAAAGUGUGGGUAUCAAACA
rnacentral:rRNA from 1 species